GGUCCAUACUUCAUUUUUCACUACUUAUUUUCACAAGCCUGGGGGGGGAUUUUUUUUUACGGUUCAUCAUCUCUCUCAGUUCUCUGAUCUCUCCAUAAUAUCUCGCCUCUCUCACGAACCCUCAACUUCCAUACCCAAGCAUUAUUCCUCACCUAGAUCACUCGAGCACCCUAGACCAGCCACCAUCAGUUCCGUCACCGAAAAAAGUAGCAGCGGUGGUCGUCGUUUCCAGUUCUCUACUUCCAGCCAGCUGUUGAAGCCUAGCAGAACCACCCCAUCACCAUCGUCACCUUAGGGCUACCAUUGUCACUCCAGUGUCGUUGUCAUCGCCAUCAACCUCACGGCCUGCCCAACCUUCCACGAUCCAGCUCCUAACCACAAUCGUGAGCAUCCUGUGCACAAAGACGAGCCUCUACAGAGAUAUUCACCAACUCCGGCCAUAUAGCAGGGUCUCCGCUCUGCACCUCUCGAUUUUGGUGACGAUGAUGGUGGAUGACCCAUGAGCUGUAAAGGAUGAUUUAUGCUACAUGAGCCAGGCCACCGAUGGCUCUGACCCAGAUCACGGUACAAAGGCUGGCUGUAUCUUCACUAUCUUGCGUCACUGACUACAGAGUUCUAUAGGUCCAGGUGAACGCCGUGUGGGUAUCAGUUCGGGGAUCCUACAAGUGUAGUUGAAAGUCAGGACAUCCUCGAUGUUGGGCUUAGGAGCUCGAGGGUAUUUUUAGCAUUUUUGAGGACUAUAUAAGAAACGGGAAAACGAUUUCCCAGCCUUCUCUCUUCGAUUUCGGCCGAUUUUGACCCGGUUUGACGAUCCGUAACCACCACGAGGUUCGUGGGAUCAUUCUCUUCAAGGCUGUGGGAGCUUAUCGUUGGGUUGUAAGGUUUGGGAAACAUCCCAAAAUCAGGGGUCCAGGUGAACACCGUGUGGGUAUCAGUUCGGGGAUCCUACAAGCGUAGUUGGAAGUCAGGACAUCCUCGAGGUCGGGCUUAAGAGCUCGAGGGUAUUUUUAGCAUUUUUAGGGACUAUAUAAGAAACAGGGUAUAUGUUGAUACUAUCUUGGAAAUGAAAAUGUUUAUAUUUUAUGUCUUUAUUGUUUAAGGAUGUUGAGAAUGGAAUGAUUGUGAAUAUACUAGAAUGUUCUGGAGAUGUAUGAAUAUAUGGAAAUGCAGGUGAUGGUUGGAUUUUA